GCGAGGCAUAAAAUGUCAAAGUCGCUCCGUCAGAAAACUCCGCCGCCGAGUCAAUUUCUCUCGGAUUUUUUUCCUGGCGGAUCACCCAACACACAGAGCCAAAAUAUUUAUUACUCCUCUGUGCAUGCGUGUUGCUGUAGAACAUAUAUUUUUUCAAAGGAAAUCUGUGAUGGUGUCCGGACCACCCUGCCUGAGUUGAGAUGGAAUCACCCAGGUUUGCCGAGGACUUCGUUCGUUCAACGUUCAACGUUCGACUGGACGUUGCACCUCGGACGGUUCGGGAGAAUCUGGACGUCGCAAGGCUGGACCAGGCUCGCCAGUAAACCGAGUCCGACGGAAUCUCACCUACAGCGUCGAUGACCUUGUCCUUCGACGGACUCACCAGCUUAGUGGCUCCGUCACUGUCACUCGAGCGACGAAACGGGGCCAGUAUACAUCCCAGACCUGAAGAUUUACCACCUCCGAGACCCCGAGGGGGAAGAGGCAGACUCCUCCGCAAGACCUGGACCAGGACCUUCCAGACCUUUCUGGACCCUCACUGCCACCUGACCCCCACCGCCACUUGGCUUCCUGGACCUUCCAGCCGCAGUUUGCGUCCGCGCAGGCGGCACAUGUAGCCGCCACUAUCCCAGUCACGAAAUCCUAGUGCUCUUGCGUAGUUGGUCUUUCUUAUAGUGUGAUUUCUCUUUUGCAAUCUUCAGCUAUAAUCUUCUGGGGGAGAGCCCUUUCAGGUUCUCAUGGUCUGACAUUGUUUUCUAACCGUAUUCCCCUAUGCUUUCCUCGCAGACUACGAUGCCUCCAAGGAAGAAGAAACGCCCGGACCUGCAUCUUCCCUAGACCGGAGCGUUGCCUAACCGCCUGCACACCCCAGUGCACAGGUACUGGCCACUCAACGAUCAGUGGUGACUUAGAUACUUGUGUCCGGCGACAUACAUGUUUCAAAACUCCUUUUUUGUUCGCUCAAUACCACAUUGGAACAGCCUUCCACGUGACCUUGUCCUUUCAGACUCAGCGACUCUGUUUUCACAAAAACUGGUUUCUUUCUUUUCGGAGUAACGGCUCACACUUUGGUUAGAUUUUGUACUUGUUUGUGUUGUUGAUGUGUUAUCACGCCAUACAUUCUUUUGGCUCAAUGCGUACUACGUGUUAUUGUAUUUUUGUUAUUAUUGCAUGUCGUGUACUGCACUCUCCCCUACGUAAUUCCACUGAUGUGGAGCAGUAGGGUACGAUCGAUAAAUAAAUAAAAUACCGGUAUCAUGGGCUUCACGUCCCAUGAAGCCCGUGUAUCAUCAUCAUACACAUACACAUCAUAUGAUCACAAUCCCGGUGGACAUCUCAACCACGACCUCUCCGCACACACGAUCCAUCCAGAGCGCCAGAGGGGUCUCUGAUCGGCACCCCAACGAUCCACCCCUUCCUCUCUCCGAAGACGAAAGGCGAGUCCUCUGUCCGAUCUGCCGUGUGCCCGAAUUACACCGUAGAACUCACCGGCAAGGCACCCUCCACAACACCAAGCUACAGACCAUCUACGCCUAUCCUCCUGAGCCCUGACCCUGAGACGGAUAAGGCCGGAGUUACUCGGACCCCUCCUCAACCCCAAGCUUUCGAAGACGGCAUCCUUGACAUGGGCGACGACGAUUUGUAGUCCACGAAGAUUAGUACCGUUGUUAUAAAGGCGGGGGGGAUAUAAACCGCCAAUAGAUGGCGCCACAGGCGGUGGUGACGGGACGGCACGUGUUAGAGGAGCGCGUGAGAAGAGGACGAAGAACUCUUCUGUGUGGUCAUUGGUCAUUGAUGCGACCGAUCGUUGGGAGACAAGAUGUAGAAACUUCCGCUGUGUCUGCCGAUGAGGAACCACAGCCUGGGUGCCGACGUCUUCUUGGCUUGCAUGCGAAAUACGCUGGCAGUGCUGUGAGCGUACAAUCCACUCUGCGAAGGUCUCACCCUCCGACUGGCCGAGUGCUUGUGCCACAAUACAUCCACAUGCAGGAUCGCCAGCCACAGCACUCCAGCAGCUGCUACAAGAAUGCUGAAUAUCUGCAAGCGAGUUACCCACUUAUUGCUCACAUACCAGGGAAACGUAUACCGGUUACCUCGGAGACAUGAAAAUUGUCCAGGGCACGAUCGGCCGCACAGAAGGUGGCGCCCAUAGUGAAGAUGAAGACGCCAUAGAUGCUGCUCAGCAUAAGACUCAAGUAACGCCUGCAAAAACAGAGGCUUUCGAUCAAAAGACACAAUGGCUAUGACGUUAGGAACCUUGGUUUCGAUGCCAGCUCCUCGUCUUGUUUGUCCACGACGGAGGCACUCCAUCGGAUGGAUUUGACGGGCUCGUCGGGUUUCACCACGUCGUUGUCUGUCGGUACCAUCCUCGUCAUCUGCGUUACUGCGGGCGACUGUCAUUCAAUCUGGCAUGAAAUGCGCGGCGUGCCUGUCAACACGUUUCCUUUCGUCCUUCGGGUGGUCGACUGUCGCAAAUGAUCGACAAUUAUCUUUGGUAUGUAAAAUCCAAGGACAACAUCCCCUUUAGAUUGCGUGCAAGAAGGGAAAACAAGAAGGUUUGCACUGAGCCGGGUUCUUGUGGGAAGCUACCAAUCUUUAGAGAAAUACCCGAUAAAAUAUAAGUCCAUC